CCCUUAGAUGUCCUGGGCCGCACGCGCGCUACACUGACAUGUUCAACAAGCCUCCUAGUUCGACAGGAGUUGGGAAAUCUUUGAACGCAUGUCGUGAUAGGGAUAGAUCAUUGCAAUUAUUGAUCUUGAACGAGGAAUUCCUAGUAAACGCGAGUCAUCAGCUCGCAUUGAUUACGUCCCUGCCCUUUGUACACACCGCCCGUCGCACCUACCGAUUGAAUGUUUCGGUGAAGAUUCCGGAUAGGACUUUUUUGAUUUAUUUCAAUUUUGUCUUAAAAGCUAUCUAAACCUCAACAUUUAGAGGAAGGUGAAGUCGUAACA
rnacentral:rRNA from 1 species